rnacentral:rRNA from 1 species
UACGGAGGGGGCGAGCGUUAUUCGGAAUUAUUGGGCGUAAAGGGCGCGUAGGCGGCUUGAUGUGUCAAAGGUGAAAUCCCUCGGCUCAACUGAGGAACUGCCUUUGAAACUGUCUGGCUUGAGGCCGGGAGAGGGUAGCGGAAUUCCCAGUGUAGCGGUGAAAUGCGUAGAUAUUGGGAGGAACACCGGUGGCGAAGGCGGCUCACUGGACCGGUACUGACGCUGAGACGCGAAAGCCAGGGGAGCAAACGGG